UUAAUCACAGGUACAGAUUAUAAGCAUUAUGAUUACAUUAUGUGUUAAAUUUUGGCUUACUUGACCUGUAUUUCUGGUUUCAGAUUUGGUUUGUCCUCUCUCCACCCCUCCUCUUGUAUAUUUAUUUACCUUGUAUAGAAAUCGGGAAGUUGUUUAUUUUGGGAGCUUCACUUACCUUUUGUUUUCUUGAGACCUGAUUACAGUUUGCUGUUUACUUGAUAUUUUGUGCUUCUUUCAAGCAGCUGACGUUCAAAAGUGGAUGCCUGGAUCUUCAGGACAGCGUGAACUUCCUGCUCUGAAGCCGAAAUAAAAGCCCACUACAGGGAGAACUGAUAAAACCCAGUAACUGGAGACAAGCACGAUUCUUUGCAUCAAGCAAACUGCAGCUGACUUGCAAAAGGGGCCUGUUCCGCACUUGCUCUACUCCGGGACUGGGAUCAGUUUGCCAUGCUGCAAAUUGUAACAGACGCCGGACUGCCGGACAGGGCAGCACAGGGCUAUUGCUACAGUCUCAAACCACCAGGACCAAAGAGGUCCCUGCCAGUCCAGUAAGUCCUCUGGAUGAGUUGCACAAAUACACUAAGAGAAAUUUCAGUAAAAGUCUUUGAGCAGGACUCCAAUUCUGAGCUGAAACAUGAUUCAUCUCCAACUCCAUUUAUCUCUCCAUUUAAACUGUGAAAGGUGUCUGUUUAGAAGCAAACGUUGCUAACAACUAUUCUCAUCAAAGUGUCAGUAUUACAACUCAAAAAGCCUAGUUAAACAGUGUAAAGCUAGACUAACUUCUUUGACUUCAGAGAAUUACUUUCAAUUCAUUCAGCUGAAUUCUGUUAGCAGCAACGCGUUUUACGUCAGCCGCAAAUAGUUACUGUUCAUGCAUAGAGCCAACAGAACAAAACCAAAGUUUAUGUUAGAAAUUAGAUUAUACCAAAUUUGAUAUUACAUUUCUAGCCCUCACUUUCGGUAAGUGGUGGAGAUUAUACAUGAACUAGCAUUUUGAAAAAGAACAUAUGCAAGAUCUAUUUUCCUUACUGGAAAUGGCAGAAGUAAGAUACUGGGGUUUGAAUAUUGGAAAUAUUCUUCUUACAAUUUUUGUUUGCACGUGCUAUUAGUAUACUAUAUUCUGAUGCGUACUCAAAAAGCAGCUAUUUAUAUUUCUUUUCUGAGAACAAAAAUAUAUCAAGCAGGGAAUUCACAAGAAAUAAAUUUCUGAAAAGUA